CCUACGGGAGGCAGCAGUGGGGAAUCUUGCGCAAUGGGCGAAAGCCUGACGCAGCAACGCCGCGUGCGGGAAGAAGGCUUUCGGGCUGUAAACCGCUUUCAGCAGGAACGAAAAUGACGGUACCUGCAGAAGAAGGAGCGGCCAACUAUGUGCCAGCAGCCGCGGUGAUACAUAGGCUUCAAGCGUUGUCCGGAUUUAUUGGGCGUAAAGAGUUCGUAGGCGGUCGAGUAAGUCGGGUGUGAAAAUUCUGGGCUCAACCCAGAGACGCCACCCGAUACUGCUUGACUUGAGUUCGAUAGGGGAGUGGGGAAUUCCUAGUGUAGCGGUGAAAUGCGCAGAUAUUAGGAGGAACACCGGUGGCGAAGGCGCCACUCUGGAUCGAUACUGACGCUGAGGAACGAAAGCAUGGGUAGCAAACAGGAUUAGAUACCCUGGUAGUCCAUGCCGUAAACGGUGGGCACUAGGUGUGGGAUUCUAUUAACGAAUUCCGCGCCGUCGCUAACGCAUUAAGUGCCCCGCCUGGGGAGUCGGUCGCAAGCUAAAACUCAAAGGAUUGACGGCNGAGAGNGCGACGCGACGACGAGGGAGAGG
rnacentral:rRNA from 1 species